AGAUACAUAGUUUGCCAACAUGUAUCAUGUAGAUACUAUUUUUCUUUAGGUUUUAAUUGGCUAAUUUACAGUUCAUUGAUCCUUCUCUACAUGAACCAUAGAGAUCUUCAGUUAAUUAACAUUGAGUCCAUUUCAUUCCAAAUCUCUGUAUCCUGAGAUUAGUGCUAAAAAUAAACUAGAUUCCCAAUAAUAAGUUCUCUUUUUAUUAAUAACUUUCUUUUCUUAUUCCCUCCCUGCCCCCAGACACUUGGUAACAAGAUCCUAAGCCAUGUUCGGAGACUCAUUCCUACUACAGUGGCCGUGGCUUGUGCCAGCGAACUGAACUCCUCAACCAUUAUAACAUCCAGCCAGCAGCCAGGGACAUUCUAAAGGAAAGGAAUAACCCGGGAGAAGCAGCUGUCCAGGAAAGGCACUAAAUGUAGGGGAGUCAAAAAGUAAUCAGCCGCCAGUAAUAACCUGCCACAAGCCAAAACCCACCCACUCCCAGAAUGUGAACGAGCAGCCUGGUAAGUUGGAGCUCUUCAGGCCUCCCUUGCCCUCCAGGCAGUUAUCUAUGUGCCCUUCUUAAACUACUUUUGACACUCUUCCCUAUUCAGGAUGCAACUGGAGGCAGCUCAAGAAUCAGGUCUCCCUCUGCGUCACUUAAGUCUAUUGGCUGACAUGCAAAAAUUACGUACUGUCAUGUGAUCA
rnacentral:lncRNA from 12 species